AUUAAACCUCGUGAGGGAUAGCAGCGGAAAGCCCGGAGCAAAAAAAUGCCAAUUUUCUCAGGCCAAAAAAGCGACCAAAGAAAGCUCUUUUUGGGUUGAAGAAAAUGGUGUUUUUUGCGAGGACUUCCAGCGAAUAGCCCGACCCGUA
rnacentral:sRNA from 1 species